rnacentral:ncRNA from 1 species
CCUCUCUCUCCAAGGAAGUCUCCUUAUGACAGGGGAGCCGGCGACCGAAGUCCCAGUGAACGGCGGCCGUAACUAUAACGGUCCUGAGGUAGCGAAAUUCCUUGUCGGGUAAGUUUUGACCCGCACAAAAGG